CCUACGGGACGCAGCAGUGAGGAAUAUUGGUCAAUGGCCGGAAGGCUGAACCAGCCAAGCCGCGUGAAGGACGAAGGUGCCAAGCAUUGUAAACUUCUUUUGUCAAGGGACUAAAUCCGGCUCGAGAGCCUGACCCAGGGUACUUGAAGAAAAAGCAUCGGCUAACUCCGUGCCAGCAGCCGCGGUAAUCCGGAGUAUGCUAUAGUUAUCCGGAUUUAUUGGGUUUAAAGGGUGCGUAGGCGGACUGUUAAGACGGCGGUAAAAGCCCGGGGCUCAACCCCGGGGAGCCGUUGAAACUGGCUGUCUUGAGAUGUCGAGAGGUAUGCGGAAUGCGCAGUGUAGCGGUAAAAUGCUUAGAUAUUGCGCAGAACUCCGAUUGCGAAGGCAGCAUACCGGCGGCGAUCUGACGCUGAGGCACGAAAGCGUGGGUAUCGAACAGGAUUAGAUACCCGAGUAGUC
rnacentral:rRNA from 1 species